GGUUGAUCCUGCCAGUAGUCAUAUGCUUGUCUCAAAGAUUAAGCCAUGCAUGUCUAAGUAUAAAUGAUUCUAUACUGUGAAACUGCGAAUGGCUCAUUAAAUCAGUUAUAGUUUAUUUGAUAGUACCUUACUACUUGGAUAACCGUGGUAAUUCUAGAGCUAAUACAUGCACAAAAGCUCGACUCCUUUGAGGGAAGAGUUGUAUUUAUUAGAUAAAAAACCAAACCGGGCAACCGGUGUUUCUGGUGAUUCAUAAUAACUUUUCGAAUCGCAUGGCUUCGUGCCGGCGAUG
rnacentral:rRNA from 1 species